CAACAAACCAACCUACUGGGAGUUUUACUGGUUCAGCUGGAGUCACUCUGUCUGUCACAGAUUUGCAUGUGCAGGUGAGCACAUCAGUGAAGUAUGACUCUUAUAACCAUGCAGAGCUCAGGUGUCAGAGCAGUUGUCGUCUUCCUGAUCAUCUGAACUACGUCUGGUACAAGAAUCAACAGAAGGAGAUUGAAGGAGCAUCUUAUUCAGAUAAUUUUCAUUAUACAGACAAAGUUUCCUGUGCUGUUAAAGGACACGAGGAUUUCCGCUCUCCGUCAAUGUUGGUAUGGAGUCAGAAUGGCUGGGAUGUGAGUUACACUUCUACUGAGAUCUGUGCCUUCAGAGGAUCAACAGUGGACAUUACCUGUACCUACACAUACCCAUCCAGGUUACAUCACCAUGAUACUACAGUUCAGAAAACUUUCUGGUUCAUUAAAGAGAGUAAGAGGAUUUACGUUGAUCUAAGGACUGAUCUGAAGUAUUCAGGUCGUGUGGAGUAUCUCUGUGGAAACAACAAGUGCACUCUGAGAAUCUCUAACCUGAGAGAGAGCGACUCAGCUGUGUACAAGUUCAGGUUCACA